GAGUUUGAUCAUGGCUCAGAUUGAACGCUGGCGGCAUGCCUUACACAUGCAAGUCGAACGGCAGCACGGGAGCUUGCUCCUGGUGGCGAGUGGCGAACGGGUGAGUAAUGCAUCGGAACGUAUCCUGGAGUGGGGGAUAACGUAGCGAAAGUUACGCUAAUACCGCAUAUUCUGUGAGCAGGAAAGCGGGGGGACCUUCGGGGCCUCGCGCUCUUGGAGCGGCCGAUGUCGGAUUAGCUAGUUGGUGAGGUAAAGGCUCACCAAGGCGACGAUCCGUAGCAGGUCUGAGAGGAUGAUCUGCCACACUGGAACUGAGACACGGUCCAGACUCCUACGGGAGGCAGCAGUGGGGAAUUUUGGGACAAUGGGGGCAACCCUGAUCCAGCCCAUGCCGCGUGAGUGAAGAAGGCCU
rnacentral:rRNA from 1 species